CCCAGGGCGGGAGGGGAAAGAACGCCUGGGCGGUAAUACCCGCCAGGAAAGACAUCACUCGCAGAAGAAGCACCGGCUAACUCCGUGCCAGCAGCCGCGGUAAUACGGAGGGUGCAAGCGUUAAUCGGAAUUACUGGGCGUAAAGCGCGCGUAGGUGGCUUGAUAAGCCGGUUGUGAAAGCCCCGGGCUCAACCUGGGAACGGCAUCCGGAACUGUCAGGCUAGAGUGCAGGAGAGGAAGGUAGAAUUCCCGGUGUAGCGGUGAAAUGCGUAGAGAUCGGGAGGAAUACCAGUGGCGAAGGCGGCCUUCUGGACUGACACUGACACUGAGGUGCGAAAGCGUGGGUAGCAAACAGGAUUAGAUACCCUGGUAGUCCACGCCGUAAACGAUGUCGACCAGCCGUUGGGUGCCUAGCGCACUUUGUGGCGAAGUUAACGCGAUAAGUCGACCGCCUGGGGAGUACGGCCGCAAGGUUAAAACUCAAAUGAAUUGACGGGGGCCCGCACAAGCGGUGGAGCAUGUGGUUUAAUUCGAUGCAACGCGAAGAACCUUACCUACUCUUGACAUCCUGCGAACUUGUGAAGAGAUCACUUGGUGCCCUUCGGGAACGCAAAGACAGGUGCUGCAUGGCUGUCGUCAGCUCGUGUUGUGAAAAUGUUGGGGUUAAAGUCCCGUAACGAGCGCCACCCUUUGUCCUUAUUUGCCAGCACGUAAUGGGUGGGAAACUCUAAGGAGACUGCCCGGGGACAAACCGGAGGAAGGUGGGGGACCAACGUUCAGUCAUCUUGGCCCCUUACGAGUAGGGGCUACACACGUGCUACAAUGGGCCGGUAACAAAGGGGCUGCAAGCUCGCGAGAGUUCACUAAAUCCUCUUAAAGCCCGUCUUCAGUCUGGAAUCGG
rnacentral:rRNA from 1 species